CAGGUGUUGUAAACUGUCAGUUAGUACUGAGUAUACACAGAUACCAGGUGUUGUAAACUGUAAGUUAAUACUGAGUAUACACCAGAUACCAGGUGUUGUAAACUGUAAGUUAAUACUGAGUAUACACCAGAUACCAGGUGUUGUAAACUGUAAGUUAAUACUGAGUAUACACCAGAUACCAGGUGUUGUAAACUGUAAGUUAGUACUGAGUAUACACAGAUACCAGGUGUUGUAAACUGUAAGUUAGUACUGAGUUUACACAGAUACCAGGUGUUGUAAACUGUAAGUUAGUACUGAGUAUACAAAGAUACCAAUAUCUUGUUAAAUAUAUUUAACCUGAAUAAGUAAUAAUUGAACAAAAAUUGUACACACUUUACAUUAACAUAUUUUUUAUUGCCUUGUUAUAAAUUUUUAAUUUAGUUUUAGGUUGUUCAUAAUGGCUCCAUAUACCUGUUUUGGUUAUUCAGUCGAAGAUACAAACUGUCAAGCUUGUUGUUUUUAGUGUUACAUGAAUGUAGUUCAAGUUGUUGCUUGUAGAGUACAAAUUGAAGAUGAACUUGAAUAGUUCUUUUCUCUAUUUAUAAAGGAUUCAGCCAAGUUCCAGGAGUAUAUAGUUCUCUACUGUGUUUCCAAACAGUUUGGUUAAGUUGCAAAUAAUACCUAAAGGUUUACUAUGAUAAAGAUCAUUAAAAGGUACCAUAAGUUCUUUAGGAAUCAGACUCUGCUUAUAUCUCUAGAUGUAUAACUGUCAUAUGAUAAUCUUAUAUCCAGUCUUUCUGCUGAUAUAACUCUGACUAAGUUAAUGCUACAAGAAGACGACAGUAGUCAAGAAUUAGAGAUUAAUUUGGUAUUGAAACUGUGAGGCUGCUAUACCACUCCUACAUUCUACACCUGUCAGUAUACCACUCCUACGUUCUACACCUGUCAGUAUACCACUCCUACAUUCUACACCUGUCAGUAUACCACUCAUACAUACACCUGUCAGUAUACCACUCCUACGUUCUACACCUGUCAGUAUACCACUCCUACGUUCUACACCUGUCAGUAUACCACUCCUACGUUCUACACCUGUCAGUAUACCACUCCUACGUUCUACACCUGUCAGUAUACCACUCCUACGUUCUACACCUGUCAGA